UACAGAGGUCCCAAGCGUUGUUCGGAUUCACUGGGCGUAAAGGGUGCGUAGGUGGCCAGGUAAGUCUGAUGUGAAAUCUCGGAGCUCAACUCCGAAACUGCAUUGGAUACUAUCUGGCUGGAGGGUCGGAGGGGGGACUGGAAUUCUCGGUGUAGCAGUGAAAUGCGUAGAUAUCGAGAGGAACACCAGUGGCGAAGGCGAGUCCCUGGACGACUCCUGACACUGAGGCACGAAAGCUAGGGGAGCAAACAAG
rnacentral:rRNA from 1 species